CAGAUUGCAAAGAGCGCGUGGCUGACAUAUUUAUGUGAUGUCCUUCGGGACUAUGGACAUAAACGCGCUCGUAAUAAGCGGAUCGGACCCGGGGGCGGUACCCGGCGGCUCCACCAAAUAUCCUGUCGUUUGCGGGAUCAUGGGGCCGAAACAGGAUCGACGGACGUCUAAAGGGGUUUGCUUUGUCUCGGCUGUCUGCCACCGUUACCGGCGAAAACAGUACAAUUGCAAACGACAAUCGUGCUCCGGUUGCAAUGGCUGCGUAAGCAGCCCUUGUCGAACCGACUUUAAGCCCUUGCGCCUAGCCGCGUAAGGCGGGGUUCGCAGGCACCUGGCAACAGAAGCCUGCACU
rnacentral:tmRNA from 1 species